rnacentral:rRNA from 1 species
GACGAACGCUGGCGGCGUGCUUAACACAUGCAAGUCGAACGGAAAGGCCCUGCUUGCAGGGUACUCGAGUGGCGAACGGGUGAGUAACACGUGGGUGAUCUGCCCUGCACUUCGGGAUAAGCCUGGGAAACUGGGUCUAAUACCGGAUAGGAGCCAUUUUUAGUGUGAUGGUUGGAAAGUUUUUUCGGUGUAGGAUGAGCUCGCGGCCUAUCAGCUUGUUGGUGGGGUAAUGGCCUACCAAGGCGGCGACGGGUAGCCGGCCUGAGAGGGUGGACGGCCACAUUAGGACUGAGAUACGGCCCAGACUCCUACGGGAGGCAGCAGUGGGGAAUAUUGCACAAUGGGCGCAAGCCUGAUGCAGCGACGCCGCGUGGGGGAGGACGGCCUUCGGGUUGUAAACUCCUUUCGCUAGGGACGAAGCUUUUUGUGACGGUACCUAGAGAAGAAGCACCGGCUAACUACGUG